ACUGAUGAGGGCGACUACCAGAUCAAGCUGCGCAAGAUGCGCGGCUUCCUGGAGGAAGGCGACAAGAUCAAGGUCAACAUCCGCUUCCGUGGCCGCGAGAUGAGCCACCAGGAGCUGGGUCGCGAGAUGGCCGGCCGGAUCGAGGCCGACCUUGGCGAAGACAUCGUCAUCGAGUCCCGCCCGCGCCUGGAAGGGCGGCAGAUGGUGAUGAUGAUCGCCCCGAAGAAGAAGACCUGAGUGCCCGUUUUGCGCGCAGUCCCGGAAAGGCGCCGAAAGGCGCCUUUUCCAUGUGGGAGGCUUUGCCGCGCCUCCCCAUGCUUUUGUAGGA
rnacentral:misc_RNA from 1 species